rnacentral:rRNA from 1 species
GCUAAAUGCGGAAGAGAUAAGUGCUGAAAGCAUCUAAGCACGAAACUUGCCCCGAGAUGAGUUCUCCCUGACCCUUUAAGGGUCCUGAAGGAACGUUGAAGACGACGACGUUGAUAGGCCGGGUGUGUAAGCGCAGCGAUGCGUUGAGCUAACCGGUACUAAUGAACCGUGAGGCUUAACCUU